rnacentral:misc_RNA from 1 species
CUUGUGUUGGAAGUUUCGGUAUCGGUAUAAGCAAUAUCUACUUAAAUGUCAAACUUAAUUUUUAAAUAUUCAAAUUGUUCGUGCUCUACUAUGAAACAAAAUUAAAAGUUUAAGUCACAAUCUGCCAUACCGAUUGAGUUGGAGCAGUCGAGAAAAUAUAAAAUAUAUAAAGUUUAUCUUUUUGCGCGCGAAAAUAACACUUGUGGCCUAAGGUUUACCAGAGGAGGCUAAUCGUCUCAAUUAAAGUGACCUCGUAGAUGAUAUUGUAAAGUUCACACAAGCAAGAAUGAAGUGCACGAUACCAGAGAUUUCUUGGCACAAUCGUGGUCCAGUGCUUAGUGUUGAUGUUCAAAAUGGAAGUUCCAAACUCUCUAUGGGAAACACCUUCUGGAGGCUCGCCUCGGGUGGUGCGGAUUCUCAUGUUUUGAUUUGGCAUUUAACUGUGAGUGAAACUAGUGAAGCCGCUGUAGCCUGUGUUGCUGAUCUCGAUAGGCAUCAGAAAACCGUGAAUGUUGUGAGAUUUUCACCUUCUGGCGAAAUGUUAGCUUCUGGAGAUGAUGAAUCAAUGAUCAUUCUUUGGAAGCAAAGAGAAAGUCUAGAGAUACCCAUUAUUUCCGACGAUGAUGAUUUUAUAAACAAAGAGCAUUGGAACUCUUUAAAAGUUUUAAGAGGACAUGUAGAGGAUGUCAAUGGCUUGAGUUGGUCUCCAGACUGUAGUUUUAUAGCAUCUAGCUCUUUGGACAAUUCAGUCAUUCUAUGGAAUGUUGAGAAAGGCAAAAAAAUCUGUAUAUUGAAUGAUUAUCCCAAAGGAUUUCCUCAAGGUGUUACUUGGGAUCCUAUGAAUAAAUAUGUGGCCAGUAUUAGCUCGGACAGAAUCUGCAGACUGAUUGACACUAGUUUAAAAAAAACUGUACAGCGCGUGAGCAAAUCAAAGAUUCCUACUCCAUCUGGACAUGCACUUGAUGGAAAAAUUGUUCGUUUGUUUUAUGAUGAUACUUUCAAAUCUUACUUUAGGAGAUUGACGUAUUCGCCAGAUGGUAUGCUUCUUUUAGUACCUUCAGGCAUUAUAGAACAUCAAGAAUCGGCAGAAAAAAUUGUCAACUGUAUACAUAUAUUUUCCAGACAUACUCUACGAGAACCCAUAGCUGUUCUUCCUUCUCAUGAAGAAGUGACAAAUGCUGUCAGAUGCUGUCCUAUGUAUUUCAAAUUACGAAAAGAAGGUCCUUCCUCUAUGAUGGAUUUACCAUACAGGAUGGUAUUUGCCGUUGCAACAGAUAAAUCUGUUAUGAUAUACGAUACUCAGCAAAUUUCACCCAUUGCAGUCAUUUCCAAUAUUCAUUACACUCGGGUGACAGACAUUGCUUGGUCUUCUGAUGGAAGAAUACUAAUUGCUUCAUCUUCCGACGGUUACUGUUCAAUAAUUCAUUUUGAUGAAGGAGAACUGGGAGAAACUUACGAAAAAGCUCCAGAAAUCGUAGAGCCAAAGAAAAAUGAAGUUAGACAAGAUACAAAAGAAACAAAAUCAUUGUUGGAUACAACUUUAGAUCAAAGUACAAAUGCCAUUGAUAUUGAUAUUUCUCAGGAAAAAUCCAAGGAAAUUUUAAGCAGCGAAAAAGAAAUGCAAUCUCCUAAGGAGAACAAUACUGGAAAAAAAAUAACACCUCUAAAAGAGAACAAAAACGAUACAGAAAUGAAAUCUCCCAAGAAAAAUGAAGAAGAAAAGAUAAGUGCUUCAGAAAUCAAACAGAAAGAAAACAAUGAUAAUACCAAUAAUGCAUCUGCAGAUGAUGAGGAUGAUUUUCAUUUAGUGUUGGAAGACACCAUCACGGAUACUGAUAAAUUGAAAGCCACUCCACCCAAGACUAAAGAAUCAGAAAAGCCGGCGACGCCCAUUGCGGCAAGGACACCUCGGAGGGUAUCUCUGAUAACUCUCUCGAGUCCAAAGGGGAAAAAGUUGUAACUCUCGCGUGUAAAUUAUGUAUGUAUAAUAUUUUAUAUUUAAUUUUAAUAAAAAUUCGUUUACAAAGUAUUUAAAAAAAAAACCAUUGUUUAUUUUAUUUAUUUUAAUAUAUUGACCACCUCAGCACUUUUAGUUUUGCCAGCUCCCAAUCUUUAAGGCUCCUUCCCUUGAUCCAACGGCGUUCUUUCAACUUUCUUCAAUUCAAAUCGUCCACUUUUCCAAUACGCAUGAUUGUCAAGGAAAAAAAAAAAAUCUCAAUAUUAUUACUCUCAACUACACCCUUGCAACUGCAUAAAAUAUUUACCAGAGUCUCAAACUCACAUCACUUCCCUGUUAUAUUUAUAUAAUAUCAGUAUAUACUGAAACGGUAAGGGUCAGGUUAGGAAUGGUUCAUUCGCGUUGUUUGUUUUGACUUUUUACAUAGGGUUGUUGGGGGUGUCUUUAGAUGUUGCUGCAGUUGCAGACUGACAGAAAGAGACACGAUAGCAUCAAAGAAGGUGCAGCUACUAGAAACAUGUAUUACACCCCAUAAUCUCCCAAAAGGGCUUUGUGUUUGAAGAAAAUCCAUGUAAGUCUAUAAAUUAUUUUUUUCCCAUUCAAAAGGAGAUUUUUCCUUUAAUUUUUAGGUAUGAUUGUAGAAGAGAUGAAAAAAAAUUUUCCAAUUCAACAAUUUGAAGAAAUUGAAACUUCAAUUGCAUAUGAUUCGUUGCAUGAAAAUUUUGAGUAUUCCAUCUGUAACUAUGAACCAGAGAAAAUCCAAAAUAGGGAGCCAACAUCAAAAACACCACAGCUCAAUGUUGCAAAAGAAUCAAGUUUGGAAGAGACCCAGUCAUCCAGUGAUGAAGGUCUGAUGUGUAAUUUUUAAUGACACUUGAAAAUAGGCUUGCACAAUAUUCACAAAACAACUAUUUACAGAUAAGGAGACACUUCCAAGGAAACUAAUGGGUCCACCUUGCAAAUGUCGUUUAGGCUGCUACAAC